CUUAGUAGCGGCGAGCGAAAAGGAAAGAGCCCAAACCGAGAUUUAUCUCUGGGGUUGCGGACAGAACAUAACGAGAAUCAUAGUUAAUUGAACACAACUGGAAAGUUGGACCACAGUGGGUAAUAGUCCCGUAAGUGAAAACUAUGAUAAUCAGUUCUGCACCAGAGUACCACGAGACACGUGAAACCUUGUGGGAAGCAGGGAGGACCACCUCCCAAGGCUAAAUACUACCUGAUGACCGAUAGUGAAGCAGUACCGUGAGGGAAAGGUGAAAAGAACCCCGGGAGGGGAGUGAAAUAGAACCUGAAACCAUGUGCCUACAACCGAUCAGAGCACCUUAUGUGUGUGAUGAUGUGCUUUUUGUAGAACGAGCCAACGAGUUACGGUAUGUAGCGAGGUUAAGUACUUAAGGUACGGAGCCGAAGGGAAACCGAGUCUUAAUAGGGCGACUAGUUGCAUGCUGUAGACCCGAAACCGGGUGACCUAUCCAUGGCCAGGUUGAAGCGAGGGUAAAACCUCGUGGAGGACCGAACCACGUUGCUGUUGAAAAAGCAUGGGAUGAGCUGUGGAUAGCGGAGAAAUUCCAAUCGAACUCGGAUAUAGCUGGUUCUCCUCGAAAUAGCUUUAGGGCUAGCGUCGGAAAAUGUGAGUAGUGGAGGUAGAGCACUGAAUAGGCUAGGGGGCAUAGCGCUUACCGAACCUUAUCAAACUCCGAAUGCCACAUACUAUCAGUCCGGCAGUCAGACUAUGAAAGAUAAGUUCCAUGGUCAAAAGGGAAACAGCCCAGAUCGUCAGCUAAGGUCCCAAAGUGUAAGUUAAGUGGAAAAGGAUGUGGGAUUUCUAAGACAACUAGGAUGUUGGCUUAGAAGCAGCCACUCAUUAAAAGAGUGCGUAAUAGCUCACUAGUCAAGAGAUCCUGCGCCGAAAAUGUCCGGGGCUCAAACUUACCACCGAAGCUACGGGUUCACGCAUUAGCGUGAGCGGUAGAGGAGCGUCGUAAUCGGGCUGAAGUCGUACCGUAAGGAGCGGUGGACUGAUUACGAGUGAGAAUGUUGGCAUUAGUAGCGAGAUGUAGGCGAGAAUCCUACAGGCCGAAUAUCUAAGGUUUCCUGAGUAAAGUUUGUCUUCUCAGGGUUAGUCGGGACCUAAGGCGAGGCCGAAAGGCGUAGUCGAUGGACAAUUGGUUGAUAUUCCAAUACCACUACAAUCGUUAUUAUCGAUGGUGUGACGGAGAAGGAUAGGAUGUGCUAGCUAUUGGAUGCUAGUCUAAGCGUUUAGGGAGUUGGGAUUGGCAAAUCCGUUCCAAUAAUUCUGAGGCGUGAUGGGGAAGGUUCUACGGAACCGAAGUAUCUGAUUCCAUGCUUCCAAGAAAAGCAUCUAGAGAGAGAAGUAGUGCCCGUACCGCAAACCGACACAGGUAGAUGAGGAGAGAAUCCUAAGGCCGACGGAAGAAUUGCAGUUAAGGAACUAGGCAAAUUGACCCCGUAACUUCGGGAGAAGGGGUGCCUGAGAAAUCAGGCCGCAGAGAAUAGGCACAAGCAACUGUUUAACAAAAACACAGGUCUCUGCUAAAGCGAAAGCUGAUGUAUAGGGGCUGACGCCUGCCCGGUGCUGGAAGGUUAAGGGGAACACUUAGUGGUAACGCGAAGGUGUGAACUUAAGCCCCAGUAAACGGCGGCCGUAACUAUAACGGUCCUAAGGUAGCGAAAUUCCUUGUCAGGUAAGUUCUGACCCGCACGAAUGGCGUAAUGACUUGUGCACUGUCUCAACUGCAAAUCCGGCGAAGUUGUAGUGCGAGUGAAGAUGCUCGCUACCCGCGAUUGGACGGAAAGACCCCGUAGAGCUUUACUGUAGCUUAGCAUUGAAUUUCGGUAUUGUCUGUACAGGAUAGGUGGGAGAUUGGGAAACUAGGGCGUCAGCCUUAGUGGAGUCGUUGUUGGGAUACCACCCUGAUAGUAUUGAAGUUCUAACUGGAUGCCAUGAAACUGGUGACAGGACAUUGUUAGGUGGGCAGUUUGACUGGGGCGGUCGCCUCCUAAAAUGUAACGGAGGCGCCCAAAGGUUCCCUCAGAACGGUCGGAAAUCGUUCGAAGAGUGUAAAGGCAGAAGGGAGCCUGACUGCGACACCUACAAGUGGAGCAGGGACGAAAGUCGGGCUUAGUGAUCCGGUGGUACCUCGUGGGAGGGCCAUCGCUCAACGGAUAAAAGCUACCUCGGGGAUAACAGGCUGAUCUCCCCCAAGAGUUCACAUCGACGGGGAGGUUUGGCACCUCGAUGUCGGCUCGUCGCAUCCUGGGGCUGAAGUAGGUCCCAAGGGUUGGGCUGUUCGCCCAUUAAAGCGGCACGCGAGCUGGGUUCAGAACGUCGUGAGACAGUUCGGUCCCUAUCCGUCGCGGGCGUAGGAAAUUUGAGAGGAGCUGUCCUUAGUACGAGAGGACCGGGAUGGACUGACCUAUGGUGUACCAGUUGUUUCGCCAGAAGCAUAGCUGGGUAGCUAAGUCGGGAAGGGAUAAACGCUGAAAGCAUCUAAGUGUGAAGCCCACCUCAAGAUGAGAUUUCCCAUAGCAUAAGCUAGUAAGACCCCUUGAAGACUACAAGGUUGAUAGGUCAGAGGUGUAAGUAUGGUAACAUAUUUAGCUGACUGAUACUAAUAGGUCGAGGGCUUGACCAA
rnacentral:rRNA from 1 species